CACCUCGGCUAAUUUUACCCCUCGUGACCUAAUACUGUCCAAUAGAAACUCGAUGCAGUCGCCAUCACUAACUGGGAGGCAGUGGGAAAAAACUCUUGUCCUUCGACAUCGCGACUUGAAAGCUUCUAGCCAUGAUACAAAUAUAGUUAAUUUUUUAAAGAACUGGCCUUUAUAUUCGCAUGCUAAUGCCAAAGACUUGAUUGACAUUGAUUUUCGCUUGCUAUUUCCUGGAAAAGUUUGCUAUAUAGUAAAUGGGCGGAUUUUAAAAGAAGAUAAAAUCAUUUUAUAGAACAAAUAUAAAUGAUAAAUCCUGCAAAUUAUUAUUCUCAUCUUUAAAUGACAAAUCUGAAACAAAUGUUGAAGAUUAUAUCUUGGCCACAUUAUUAAACUCGAUUAUUCUACCAACUAGUCGGUUUCCAGUAGAAGUUUAGUUUCCAGUAGAUAGUUUUAGUUUUUUAGAGAGUUCAAUCUCGUUUUGAUUAUUUUUUAGACUGAUGUUAUAAUAGGUUUACGUUAUUUUUGUAUAUGCAAAAUUUUUAAAAUAUAUAUUUUUGUUAUAAAUUUAA